rnacentral:rRNA from 1 species
UACGUAGGGUGCAAGCGUUUGUCCGGAAUUAUUGGGCGUAAAGAGCUCGUAGGCGGUCUGUCGCGUCUGCUGUGAAAAUCCAGGGCUCAACCCUGGACCUGCAGUGGGUACGGGCAGACUAGAGUGCGGUAGGGGAGAUCGGAAUUCCUGGUGUAGCGGUGAAAUGCGCAGAUAUCAGGAGGAACACCGGUGGCGAAGGCGGAUCUCUGGGCCGUAACUGACGCUGGAGGAGCGAAAGCAUGGGGAGCGAACAGG